rnacentral:ribozyme from 1 species
CAUUGAGGCCGAAGGGAAGGUCAUUGACCCCAACAAGCAGCCCUUGAAGAAAAACUCGGGGAAUGAGUACUUAGGACUCUGCAACUACAGCUGCUGUGGCUGAAAUGGCAAAAGCUAACUAUCGUCGGAGUCGGGCUCUUUCCAUUUACCUUCCAGGUCCAACUAGGAAGAGAACCUGGCCAGCUAGCGGGGAAGGAACUGCCACCUGACCUACACUGAGGACUCCUUCUCCAACAAGCACAGCAUAUAGCUGCGAUAACGCUUUCCCAGUGAUCAUGAAGGGACUCAGGAUGAGUGCAA